GAUGAACGCUGGCGGCGUGCCUAACACAUGCAAGUCGAGCGAGAAAUAAAGGAAUGAAGCUUCGGUAGAUUUUCUUUAUGGAAAGCGGCGGACGGGUGAGUAACGCGUAGGCAACCUGCCCCGUACAGGGGGAUAGCCACCCGAAAAGGUGAUUAAUACCCCAUAACGCAAGAGAUACACAUGUAUCACUUGUCAAAGAUUUAUCGGUAUAGGAUGGGCCUGCGUCUGAUUAGCUAGUUGGUAGGGUAACGGCUUACCAAGGCAACGAUCAGUAGCCGACCUGAGAGGGUGAUCGGCCACAUUGGAACUGAGACACGGUCCAAACUCCUACGGGAGGCAGCAGUGGGGAAUAUUGCACAAUGGGCGCAAGCCUGAUGCAGCAACGCCGCGUGAAGGAUGAAGGCCUUCGGGUUGUAAACUUCUGUCCUAGGGGAAGAAACAAAUGACAUUACCCUUGGAGGAAGCCCGGUAAU
rnacentral:rRNA from 1 species